GGAGGAAAAGAAACUAACAAGGAUUCCCCUAGUAGCGGCGAGCGAAGCGGGAAGAGCUCAAAUUUAUAAUCUGGCACCUUCGGUGUCCGAGUUGUAAUCUCUAGAAAUGUUUUCCGCGUUGGACCGCACACAAGUCUGUUGGAAUACAGCGGCAUAGUGGUGAGACCCCCGUAUAUGGUGCGGACGCCCAGCGCUUUGUGAUACAUUUUCGAAGAGUCGAGUUGUUUGGGAAUGCAGCUCAAAUUGGGUGGUAAAUUCCAUCUAAAGCUAAAUAUUGGCGAGAGACCGAUAGCGAACAAGUACCGUGAGGGAAAGAUGAAAAGCACUUUGGAAAGAGAGUUAACAGUACGUGAAAUUGUUGGAAGGGAAACGCUUGAAGUCAGACUUGCUUGCCGAGCAAUCGGUUUGCAGGCCAGCAUCAGUUUUCCGGGAUGGAUAAUGGUAGAGAGAAGGUAGCAGUUUCGGCUGUGUUAUAGCUCUCUGCUGGAUACAUCUUGGGGGACUGAGGAACGCAGUGUGCCUUUGGCGGGGGUUUCGACCUCUUCACACUUAGGAUGCUGGUGGAAUGGCUUUAAACGACCCGUCU
rnacentral:rRNA from 1 species